UACAGAGGUCUCAAGCGUUGUUCGGAUUCAUUGGGCGUAAAGGGUGCGUAGGCGGCGCGGUAAGUCGGGUGUGAAAUCUUGGAGCUUAACUCCGAAACUGCAUUCGAUACUGCCGUGCUUGAGGACUGGAGAGGAGACUGGAAUUUACGGUGUAGCGGUGAAAUGCGUAGAUAUCGGGAGGAACACCAGUGGCGAAAGCGGCGCACUGGACCAUAACUGACGCUGAGGCGCGAAAGCUAGGGGAGCAAACAGG
rnacentral:rRNA from 1 species